rnacentral:tRNA from 1 species
CACUAAGAAGCUAAAUAGGGAAUAGCAUCAGCCUUUUAAGCUGAAGAUUGGUGGCCCCCAACCACCCUUAGUGA